UACGUAGGGUCCGAGCGUUGUCCGGAAUUACUGGGCGUAAAGAGCUCGUAGGUGGUUUGUCGCGUUGUUCGUGAAAACUCACAGCUCAACUGUGGGCGUGCGGGCGAUACGGGCAGACUAGAGUACUGCAGGGGAGACUGGAAUUCCUGGUGUAGCGGUGAAAUGCGCAGAUAUCAGGAGGAACACCGGUGGCGAAGGCGGGUCUCUGGGCCGUAACUGACGCUGGAGGCGCGAAAGCGUGGGGAGCAAACAGG
rnacentral:rRNA from 1 species